AUGACGUUGCCUGCGCUGCCGUCUGCUAGCGUGCCAGAGACUGCCAAGGUGAACCCGGAAGUUGGUGGGGGCGAAAAAGGGGCUCCCAUAGCGGAUGCCGCCCGCCCGAAGCCUUCUAAUGGGGAAACUGCGGCCAUGCCAGCGGCGAGCCCUAAUGCCCCGGCGAUCGUCUUUGCUACACAGGGAGAAGAAAAGACCACGGAGGUGGCCGAUGAUGCAUAUGAUGUACUAGUUGACCCGUUGCGUCAAAUGGCGCAGAGACCUGCUGAAGACAUGUUGUCGAUGAAAAAAGUUUCAUGCUGCAAGAACCUUCAACUAAAUCAUGCUAUUUUUUAA
rnacentral:rRNA from 1 species